rnacentral:rRNA from 1 species
AUUCCAGCUCCAAUAGCGUAUAUUAAAGUUGUUGCAGUUAAAAAGCUCGUAGUUGGAUUUCGGAACCGGCCGAUUGGUCCGUCCUCUGGAUCGUGUACUGAUCGGUCUGUUCUUCUUCGCGAAGACCGCGUGUGCCCUUAACUGGGUGGGCGCGGGAUUCGCGACGUUUACUUUGAAAAAAUUAGAGUGUUCAAAGCAGGCAGUCGCUUGAAUAUCUCAGCAUGGAAUAAUAGAAUAGGACUUUGGUCUUAUUUUGUUGGUUUCCGAGGCCGAAGUAAUGAUUAAUAGGGACAGUUGGGGGCAUUCGUAUUUCAUUGUCAGAGGUGAAAUUCUUGGAUUUAUGAAAGACGAACUUCUGCGAAAGCAUUUGCCAAGGAUGUUUUCAUUA